UACGUAGGGUGCAAGCGUUGUCCGGAAUUAUUGGGCGUAAAGAGCUCGUAGGCGGUUCGUCGCGUCGGCUGUGAAAACCCGGAGCUCAACUCCGGGCCUGCAGUCGAUACGGGCGGACUAGAGUUCGGCAGGGGAGACUGGAAUUCCUGGUGCAGCGGUGAAAUGCGCAGAUAUCAGGAGGAACACCGGUGGCGAAGGCGGGUCUCUGGGCCGAUACUGACGCUGAGGAGCGAAAGCGUGGGGAGCGAACAGG
rnacentral:rRNA from 1 species